UUUUCGCUCUUUCUUUAGUCUUUUCUUUCUGAUGCAUUGUGGAAUUGUUGUUUGUUUUAGUAUUGACAAUUAUGUUUUUUAAAUUAAAUGUGUUUAGUGUGAUGUUUAUAUAAAUAGCACUAAAGUUUUUCCAUGAUCUUGUUCACUAUGUUAAGUGAAUUCUGAUUGAGCUUAUUAAGUUUGUUGCUCUGUUGCUGGCAGUAGUUAAGAAAUAUGAAUAUGAUCACUAUUGUUUCCAGGAGCAUAUUUACCUGGCCUGAGGUCUCUUUUGUUAACUAACAUUUUUGACUUAAUCUUUUAUUUCUUUAUUUGCUGAUUGUAAAAUUCAAGAUUCAUAGUGAAUUAUCUAAGUUGUGUCAUUCCCCAUCUAUAUUCUGAUCUUCUAUUCGCUUAAAUAUGUGAUUGAAAUUUAUGAUCGUAUUGUUCCUUGGUUUGAAUGUGAAAGAAAUAUGUUAGAAUUGGAAAUUAAGUGUCUUCUUCUAUUUCUGCUGGUUUCCUCCUCUCUCAUUGCCCUCUUUAAUUGCAUACAAUUAAUAAUACAAGUUAUGUACUCCUUCGCAGUGGCGGAUCUAGGAAUUUAAGGUUGUGGGUGUUCUAAAGUGAAAAUAUAAAAAAUGUGUUAACAGUGAUAUUGGAACCUUGGUACAACAACACUAAAAAAGUCUUAAGUACCCAUACAAGAGCCAUUGGGCCAACUAAAUGAUUUAUUCAUUGGGUGCUCUAUGUUAAUUUUAUACAAUACCUAUUGAUUUCUAUAUAGAUAUAUAUAUUCCGUAACGAAGUUAAUGGGGGCUCGAGCACCCGGCGGACACCAUGUGGGUCCGCCUCUGCUCCUCCUCAUCUAAGUGUUUUGUAUUAUAAUACAAAGUUGAACUUGUUAAUUCAUUAAUUGCUCAUCUAUUGUAUUGCAGGAGUGUUAAAGUCUCUCUUGUUUUGCCAAAACAUUUUCUUUAGUAUGUCUGUCUUGUUGGAAAUUGAAUAUUUAUAGAAAUAUGGACUGCUUAUUUUAGUUUACUUCUUUAAAAUCUUGGUUGUUGGACAAAUACUAAUUAAUAUGGUUUGAAGAUAAUCGUUGUUGGUAAUCUCUUACAGUUAGAGUUGAGUUGUGGUUAAUGAAAACAUUUGUGUGGUUGAGUGAUCUCCUUCUUGUUUAAUUUUCAGUAAUGAGGUUGAAUAUAUAAAUUAAGGUUUGUUGUUCAAACAUGCUUAUUAAAAUCAUCUUACUAAUCCUUUCUUCCUCAUCUUUGAAUUUUCCAUGAACUCUCUCGUUUGAGUCCAAUCGGACUCUUCCUCUUGCAUUUUCCUCUCCGAGUCGACUCUCCUUCACACCAAGUGAAAGGGAAGUUAAUGUCAUUGGGUUGAAACCCAGGUAAUACGGACAGAUCAGUGGCAAAAACCAGGGUUUUAGGGAUUUUCAUUCAAUUGCUUCACCAUGACCAUAAAGAUCUAUUAUUCCUCAAAUUCAAUUGCUUCACCAUGACCAUAAAGAUCAGGGUUUUAGGGAUUUUCAUUUAGUAAAUAACCUUUUACAUCAAGGUCUAAUCGAAAAUUAGUUACAGUUUGGCAAUAAUAAAUAUCACUGGUACUUAUAAUAAUUUUACUUUUCAAGAAAAGAUGUUGAUAGUACAACAACAAACUUCAUAGAGAUAAGUAAAUCAUUCAAUUCUUUGUCACUUAUACUUGUAGUUUUAUUCCAACACCAUAAGGAAAUAAAGUCAAAAUUGAAGUAAGUCCAUAUGAUACGUAUAAUUUACCAAUAUUGAUAUAAAACAAAGAAAAUUACUUACCCUUAUAAUUUAGCUUGCUUGCAUCAAAUUCUUGUGUUGAUUAGCACUAGCACCAACACCAGCGCCAAUGGGCUUAAUUGAAUUACUAUUAAGCUUCCUUUUCUUUUUCUUCUUGUAAGGAAUCCCUCUUGCCUUAGCUUGACACUCUUUUACCUCUCAAAAUAGCUGAAAAUGAAAGUGUUUUCCGUCUAAAUUGUUGAAAUUUGAACAGCUGAAAUAAGGCUGAAUUGCAGAAGUUUCAGAGGGUUAAAAUGACUUCUUUUUUGGAAUUUAAAGGUCUAAAAAUACUACAGAAGGAACAGAAAGCAUUUUGGGUCAACGGCCUAAGAUCUGAGCUGCAAAAGACAACAAUUUCAGCCCUCUAAAAUGGUUGAUUGGGGCUGAAAUUUUCAGUUUUCGAAGAAGACUGAUUUGUGUUGGUAAUUAAACUUGCUCACUUCAUCAAAGUACCCGCUGGCAGAACAUUCAUAUUUUACACGGUCUAAGGUCAAGAGAAUCUCUACAGACUCUUCAUUUCUUACUUGGACUACUAAAAAGACUCGUUCAAAAAUGGAUCCCACUAUUCACACGGUUGCUUCGUCCGAAAUGAUCCCCACUUCAUCUAUCGCAGCUAAUCCUAGUGCCUCGGUAGCAACAUAAUCACCUAUGGAAGUCAUUGCUCGUCUAGAGCGACAAAUUAACACACUGAAUCUCCUGCUAGAUCAAUACCAAGUUUCUUCUCCGAAUCAACCACCUGAUGCUCUUGAAAAGGGGCCCAUGCCACCUGUGUAUCCGACUUCGAGUGAGUUUCAUCAAGGAGAUCAUUUUACCACCUUUCGGCAAACUUAAAGCACCUCACUCACUUAUUUAUCUUAGGAUACUCCUCUUAUGUACACAUUUGCUCCUCCAAAAUCUCCAACAGUAACACAUCACACUAUGCCAGUGUACACUUAUGUCACUGCUCCACCUGUUACCAAGACUCCAAAGUUUCACUGCCCGAUGUUAAUCACUAUAUUGAAAUUGAGGGGGCCGAAAAAUCAAUUGAUGCUGAAAUGAUGAAUAAGAAGAUGAAAAUCUUGGAUGAUGCUAUGAGAGGUCUUCAUGGGUUCGAUAGUAGCUAGCGUUUUAGAUACGAAGAAUUGUGCACAUUUCCUGAGGUUGAGUUGUCACCCGGUUACAAGAUUCCAAAGUUUGAAAAGUUUAGUUGAUCAAGAAAUACGUUCUUUCACUUGAAAAUAUACUAUGAAAAGUUGAUUGGCGUUGCAAACAACGAAGGGAUAAUAAUCAAGUUGUUCAAUCAAAGUCUGACUGGAAAAGCAUUGGAGUGGUACUCUAAGAAAGAUGUCACUAAAUGGCGCGCUUAGGAUGAUCUAGCGAAUGCUUUUGUGGAUCACUACAAGUUUCAUGUUAAAAUUGCUCCUGAUAGGAUCUCUAUUACCAAGCUAAAACCAAAGUCGACUGAUGCUUUCGAGAAUAUGUCAUUCGUUGGAGAGAAGAAGUUUAUAGGGUGCACCCACCUAUGGAGGAAUCAGAAAUGAUCACCUAUUUUAUUCAAGCUCAAGAUUCAAAAUACUAUGAGCGAAUGGUGACGAUGGGUGGAAAGACAUUUGCUUAAGUUAUCAAAGCUGGAGAAAUGCUUGAAGAGGGUCUCAAAACUGGCGGAAUAUUGAGUUACACCUCAUCUCAGUUUACUAAUAGAGCUUAUCCAACUGGUUCCUUUGGAAAGAAAAAAGAAAAAGAAGUUAUGAUGUUGACGACACGAGGAGCUACCUCAUGUAACCGUCAACCACCUCCAGGCUAUCCUAAUUCACAAUACUAUGUUUGCAACAAUCAAGCGACAUUUCGUUCUCCACGACCAAUGCAAAAUCCUCGAAACAACGCACCUCAUCCUUAUUUUGAGAAAAAUCCUCCCAGAGUCUUCACUCAAUUGUGUGACACACAGACUCAACUUUUUGAGAGGUUUAAAGAGGCAGGAAUACUUCAUCCAGUGGAAGCCAAGAAUGUCAAUACUUCAGUCGACUGGUAUGACCCAUAUAAGCAUUGUGCUUAUCAUUCAGGAGUUGUUGGACAUGAUACUGAGAGGUGUAUCACUCUCAAACACAAAAUUCAAGAUCUUAUUGACAAUGAGGUGGUAAAACUCACUCAAGCUCCACCAAAUGUGAAGACCAAUCCGUUGCCCAAGCAUAAGGAAUAGUUGUUGGCACAACAAGUUCAAAGAAGAAGCAAGUUGUUUUGAAAAUUGUACUUUUGACAUCUUUAAGUCUUGCAUUUCUUGUUUGUUUGUUUCAUUUCCCACUAAUCGCCUUUUAUUGUA